CAGCCAAUUCUCUGUUGGGUCCCGCCCCUGCUCGGGUCCUAUUGGGAAAAUUCAAUUUUUAGGCCCCGCCCCCAAUAAACUCCCGCCCCUCACUGCCCAAGGCUGUUGGGUAUUGUAGUCUUCAGGGCCGCUGCCGCGAUGUCCUUGACAGCCACGGGUGGGCUUGGGAAGGAUGCAGGCUCUAAGCCGAAGUCCGGAAUGUACCACAAGCUGGGCAAAUGUCUCCAAUCAUGUAAGCCCUGAGAGGUCUGGAGAGCCCCUCCCUGCCCUCUUCUUUGUUCCUGAGACCACGUCCUCUCUCCUGACUCCACCCUCUCCUGGCCUCAACACACUCACUUCCUCUAAGAGCACUUUCGGGACACCUGGGACACCUGAGGGCAAGGACUGGGUGAGCAGCAGCAUCUUGAACCUGUGUCGAGCCGCCCAGGACCGUCUGAGAUGGAGCAGGACCGGACAUAACGUGUCUUCCCUUGCUCAUGCUCUCCCAAACCCUUUAAAGACUGCCUCUGGGAGCCCCGUAGUCCUAAACAGGAAACACAAACCCCUCAACCCUCAACAAAUGGGGGGAACUGAAGGUCCCAAAGAGCCAAUACUCCCAAAACAAAGAGUCAGCCGGGAACUUAGGAGCUCAGACCCAGUAGGGAAAGCCACCCAGCGUCAGGCCCUGGAGGCUGUGGAGCCGCCCUAGCGGUCUUCGUGGAGACAAAAGCUGGGGGGAGCCCGGCAAACAAAAACCAUAAAAGCACCAAUUUAUUUAUUUUGUGUGCUUCGUGUACCAGAUUAUAAAGUCCACAACAACUAAAUAAGAGUUGAAUUGUCCCCUUAUACAGAUGAGAACAAAAGCCUGUAGGUAAAGAGCUGGUGGUAACAUAGCCGGGGUCCCUACCACCUCGCCUUGGUUCUAAUCUGUGCUCCCAACCGCUAGAACGCGGGGCUGAGGCUGGCCCUGUUGUCUCAGAGAGCUCCAGUUCAGAUUUCUCCAGGACCAGCCAUUUCUAUACGCCAUCGCGUUGCCUCCCACAUCCCCAAGAGGUGGUCUAUAUUGGGAAAUAGGGCCUCGAGAAGGAAGCUACUUGUGGGUGAGGAGGAAGAGGCCCUGGAAUAACGAAGCCCAGAGUGGAGCCUACGGUUCCUACUCCUCUCACCGGCUUCUUCUCUGAACGAAGGUGAAGACGCUCCAUGGAGUACUGAGAACCUUGCAUCCCUAGCGAUCCACCAUUCCCUCUGCGAACACCUGAACUCCUUUCCGAGUCUCAGGGUCUGCGUGAGUGGGAGCCGUUGGCUCCGGUGAAGCGCCUGUUCCGCCCUAGGUGCGAUCAAUCAAUUGCCUCAGUGAGUGCCUGAGGUCCAGAAUAUCUGUUUAGCGCUUGUGCGCCCGCUCCGUGGUGGUGAUGCCAAGCCCUGGCCCGCCUCCAGACGGACCUACCCUGCCUCUGUUUCUUCCUUCUUGCAAGGGAUGGUGCCAGGGUGUCUAGUGCUGGCGAUGGUGAUCUGGGCAUCAGAGGGCGACCCCGUGCAGGUGGUGAGAACUUGACCUAGGCGGGGAAGAGUAAACACUCCAUGAGGAUGUACAGCUGUACGCCAGGUCACCAAGAUAGCCUCUGUGCGAGACAGCCAGCUGGAUUCUACAGGGAGGAAACUGAAACCUAGGAAGGUAAUGGCGCCAUCACCAGUGGAAAUUUGCCCGGUGCCAGAGCACCUGUCCUCCCCUUGUUGUUUCUAAGAUGGAAGAAAUCUUGGAGAGCUUCUUAGAGGUGGUGCUGUUCUAAACAUUAUUGAAGAAAACAAAAACAAACGAGGACAGGCAAGCUGGAGUUCUCAGUGGCUUCUGAGAGAGGGAGGGAAAAGAAGAAAGAAAGAAGGGAGCCUGCCAUCUGAGUCAGGAAAGCAGCAAGGUGUAUGGAGAGGCUGGUCUUCAGGUCGUAAGGGAGGAUUUUCUUCUGUCAGGAGGUCUCCAGCCUUGUCUGGUCAAAGGAAGCACCUGCUGUCUGCAUCAGAAGGGUUUCUCAGCCCCUGAACCAGCCAUCUGGAAACAGGCUGCUGUACCAUUUGUCUCAGAGUAAGCAGACACCCUGAGAGUCACACUCUGAAACAAGCCCAGGGAAGUGGACUGCUGCAGAGGGCCCCUUUCAUUGGAUUUCUUUCUGCCUGGGACCCUUUAUCUCUAAGGCAAGAACAGGAUCCUACCUGUGCUGGCUAGUGUUAUGUCAACUUGACACAAGUCUUCUGAGAGGCCAUCUUUGGUCCAGUGGUCUUGGAAAAGGUGGUGGCACACUUCUAUAAUCCCAGCAUUUGGGGGGAAAAAGAGGUAGGCCAAUCUGUGUGAGUUCAAGGCCAGCAUGGUCUACAAAGCGAGUUCAGGACAGCCAAGGCUACACAGAGAAACCCUGUCUGAAAAAAAAAAACACCACACACAUACAAACAACAACACCAAAAAACAAACAAACAAACAAAAAGCAGGCUGAGCAAGUCAUGGGGGAGCAAGCCAGUAAGCAGCACCCCUCCAUGGUCUCUGCAUCACUUCCUGCCUUGAGGUUCCUGCCCUGCUUGAGUUCCUGUCCUGACUUCCUUUGAUGAGAAACUGUGAUGUGGAAGUGUAAGUAGAAUAAAUGUUUUCCUCCCCAUCUUGAGUUUUGGCUGUAGUGUUUCACGACAGCCAUAGAAACCCUAACUAAGACACCGGCUGUAUUUUCUCUGAGUUCAAAGGGUAGGAGAGGAGUAGUGUUUGGGUGAGAAAGGUGAAGGUGACAAGGCGAGACAGAACAAUCCCCAUAGGUCUGCCUACAGAACAUGGCAAUCAUAGUUCAGAGUUACUAAGAAUCUGGGCCAGCAAGACCGCUCAACAAACUUGCUGCCCACCCAGCUGGAUGGGUUGAAUGCUGAGUCUCAGAAUCCUUCUGGAGGAAGAUGAGAACUGGCUCCUACAAGUUGCCCUCUGACCCCUUCCCACACAGCACACACA